GGAGAGAUGGCUCAGUGGUAAGAGCACUGGCUGCUCUUCCAGAGGUCCUGAGUUCAAUUCCCAGCACCA
rnacentral:tRNA from 1 species